GUUUUUAUAUCAGAUUAUUUAAUACCUGAAAGAUAUUAUUAUUUUAAAGUUAUGUUUUUAAAGCGUAGUGAGUGAAUAUGAACUGUGAGUAGUAGAGACCAGGGUUGAUGUGGAGAUGGCUCUGGUCCAGGGUGUUACGUGUGGCAGGUUCAGCUUCAGCAAGCAACCCGUAACACCCUGGUCCAGAGCUAGUGUAGAGACAGACGUGUGUAUAGGAGCAGUAUACAGGGUAGGAUCCCUGGUGUAGUUGGAUAUGGGACAGACAGACAAACACUACUGUAGUUGGAUAUGGGACAGACAGACACCAGGCUAACACCCCCCAUUUGGUUGUGUUUGAAAUGGCCGCCUAUUCCCUACGUAGUGCAGAGGGCCCUGGUCUAUAGUAGUGCACGAUAUAGGGAAUAGGGCUCUGGUCUAUAGUAGUGCACUAUAUAGGGAAUAGGGCCCUGGUCUAUCGUAGUGCACUAUAUAGGGAAUAGGGCUCUGGUCUAUAGUAGUGCACUAUAUAGGAAUAGGGCCCUGGUCUAUAGUAGUACCACUAUAUAGGGAAUAGGGCUCUGGUCUAUAAUAGUGCACUAUAUAGGGAAUAGGGCUCUGGUCUAUCGUAGUGCACUAUAUAGGGAAUAGCUUGCUGUUUCAAACACAGCCUGUUUCUGUCCAUCCAUCUGUCUGUAGAGUUCACAUAUACAUUGUGUUAAUUGUAUUCAAGAUGUUUUGCAAAAUGGUUAAAAGGCAGAUGAUUGGCUUAUGUUUUAAUGAUCCUCUCAGAUGGUCAUGGCUUUGAUUGGACAAUAUUAAACGGUGCACAAUGAAGGUCAAGCUGUACGAUUGUCUGUUAUGUUGAUGGUGACGGGGUCUAACCUGGUCUGUCUCUUUAGGUCACGUUAGCUCUCCGUCUGUCUGUAUAUACAGCUGCAGCUCCUGUCUCCAAGGGCCUCCUUUGGCCCUGCAGACAGACAGAAAGGACGUACACUAAACUACAGGAAGUGCUAGGACAGCCAGGUCACGUGACAGUGAAUGUUCUAGAAGCAUCUCUAGACCAGACCAGAUAGCCACGUAACUCCUGACUGAGGGUGGACAUACGGAACGCCGUUUGGGUCAAAAAAAGAUACACUUUUAAUUUGACACGUUAAAUGACUAUUAUAUUAUAGAAUGUUGUGUGCUCUGAAUUUACACAAGACGAGCUCACUACUCUUGACGUUUUUCUUGCUCUGUUCCCAAUGAUUUAUGAAAACUUGCUCGGUCUGUCGAUGUCCUCAUUGUGGUUUAACAGACGUGUUUAAUACGUAUAAGGUACACACUUUAUUAAAAUAUUUAUGAAAUGCA